rnacentral:rRNA from 1 species
GACGUAGGGGACGAGCGUUGCUCGGAAUCACUGGGCGUAAAGCGCACGUAGGCGGAUUGUUAAGUCAGGGGUGAAAUCCUGGAGCUCAACUCCAGAACUGCCUUUGAUACUGGCGAUCUCGAGUCCGGGAGAGGUGAGUGGAACUGCGAGUGUAGAGGUGAAAUUCGUAGAUAUUCGCAAGAACACCAGUGGCGAAGGCGGCUCACUGGCCCGGUACUGACGCUGAGGUGCGAAAGCGUGGGGAGCAAACAGG